rnacentral:rRNA from 1 species
CACCACCAAAGCAUUCUCUGGUGUUGAAGGCCCUGCAAAGCAGCAUCGCGGUGGCGGAGCGUCGUUUGCGACGCCCAACACACAAAACAAGCGGUGAGUGCUUUGGGGUGGGGUGACUGCGUACCUUUUGUAUAAUGGGUCAGCGACUUAUAUUCUGUAGCAAGGUUAACCGUAUAGGGGAGCCGAAGGGAAACCGAGUCUUAACUGGGCGUUAAGUUGCAGGGUAUAGACCCGAAACCCGGUGAUCUAGCCAUGGGCAGGUUGAAGGUUGGGUAACACUAACUGGAGGACCGAACCGACUAAUGUUGAAAAAUUAGCGGAUGACUUGUGGCUGGGGGUGAAAGGCCAAUCAAACCGGGAGAUAGCUGGUUCUCCCCGAAAGCUAUUUAGGUAGCGCCUCGUGAACUCAUCUUCGGGGGUAGAGCACUGUUUCGGCUAGGGGGUCAUCCCGACUUACCAACCCGAUGCAAACUGCGAAUACCGAAGAAUGUUAUCACGGGAGACACACGGCGGGUGCUAACGUCCGUCGUGAAGAGGGAAACAACCCAGACCGCCAGCUAAGGUCCCAAAGUCACAGUUAAGUGGGAAACGAUGUGGGAAGGCUCAGACAGCCAGGAUGUUGGCUUAGAAGCAGCCAUCAUUUAAAGAAAGCGUAAUAGCUCACUGGUCGAGUCGGCCUGCGCGGAAGAUGUAACGGGGCUAAACUGUGCACCGAAGCUGCGGCAGCGACGCUUAUGCGUUGUUGGGUAGGGGAGCGUUCUGUAAGCCUGCGAAGGUGUCCUGUGAGGGAUGCUGGAGGUAUCAGAAGUGCGAAUGCUGACAUAAGUAACGAUAAUGCGGGUGAAAAGCCCGCUCGCCGGAAGACCAAGGGUUCCUGUCCAACGUUAAUCGGGGCAGGGUGAGUCGACCCCUAAGGCGAGGCCGAAAGGCGUAGUCGAUGGGAAACGGGUUAAUAUUCCCGUACUUGGUGUUACUGCGAAGGGGGGACGGAGAAGGCUAUGUUGGCCGGGCGACGGUUGUCCCGGUUUAAGCGUGUAGGCUGGUUUUCCAGGCAAAUCCGGAAAAUCAAG